GAUGAACGCUGGCGGCGUGCCUAAUACAUGCAAGUCGAGCGAACAGACGAGGAGCUUGCUCCUCUGACGUUAGCGGCGGACGGGUGAGUAACACGUGGAUAACCUACCUAUAAGACUGGGAUAACUUCGGGAAACCGGAGCUAAUACCGGAUAAUAUAUUGAACCGCAUGGUUCAAUAGUGAAAGACGGUUUUGCUGUCACUUAUAGAUGGAUCCGCGCCGCAUUAGCUAGUUGGUAAGGUAACGGCUUACCAAGGCAACGAUGCGUAGCCGACCUGAGAGGGUGAUCGGCCACACUGGAACUGAGACACGGUCCAGACUCCUACGGGAGGCAGCAGUAGGGAAUCUUCCGCAAUGGGCGAAAGCCUGACGGAGCAACGCCGCGUGAGUGAUGAAGGUCUUCGGAUCGUAAAACUCUGUUAUUAGGGAAGAACAAAUGUGUAAGUAACUAUGCACGUCUUGACGGGACCUAAUCAGAAAGCCACGGCGAACUACGU
rnacentral:rRNA from 1 species